CCUGGUGGCUCAGAUGGUAAAGAAUCUGCCUGCAAUGCAGGAGACCCGGGUUCGAUCCCUGGGUCAGGA
rnacentral:tRNA from 1 species